rnacentral:tRNA from 1 species
UGGGCUAUCGCCAAGCGGUAAGGCACUGGCUUUUGAUGCCGCAUUCCCUGGUUCGAAUCCAGGUAGCCCAGCCA